rnacentral:snRNA from 8 species
AUCGCUUUUCGGCCUUUUGGCUCAGAUCAAGUGUAGUAUCUGUUCUUAUCAGUUUAAUAUCUGAUACGUCCCCCAUCGGGGGACUACAUAUUAAAUGGAUUUUUCGAACAGGGAGUCGGAAAUGGGGCUUGCUCCGUCCGCUCCACGCAUCGACCCGGUAUUGCAGUACCUCCGGGAAUGGUGCAACACUU